rfam:Triticum aestivum genome assembly, contig: Triticum_aestivum_CS42_TGACv1_scaffold_485254_6AS
CCAAUAUUCCCUCUGUUCGAAAAAACUUGUCCCAAGUUUGUCUCUCAAAUGGAUGUAUCUAGCAUUAACUUAAUGCUAGAUACAUUCAUUUGAGGGACAAGCUUUUUCGGACGGAGAAAGUAGGUG